AGGUAUGCCCCGAAUAUCCCGGGCUACACGCGAGCUACAAUGGUUGGUACAAUGGGUAUCUACCCCGAAAGGGGACGGGAAUCUCCUAAAACCAAUCUUAGUUCGGAUUGAGGGCUGCAACUCGCCCUCAUGAAGCUGGAAUCCGUAGUAAUCGCGUUUCAACAGAACGCGGUGAAUACGUCCCUGCUCCUU
rnacentral:rRNA from 1 species